CUAGGAUUAACCCUGCCUGCUGUAAACAUAGCAGUUUCAGAGAGUUGAUUUUCACAGUGAGAAGAUGCCAGCGUCCAUAGGAAAGCAUUGAGAAUGCUCUUGCUGCGCAUGCGGAUUCAGCCGAUGACGGGAGAAAAAGGAGGAGAUUCCCCAGCACAGAGGAGCUGGAAAAAGUUAGGAAUUUAACCCCUUCCUCACCCUAGAGCCCGGCGGGAGGGGGACCCAGAGUGUGAGGGGGACCCAAGGACCCUAUAGAGCCAGGAAAUGUUUUCCUGGCACUAUAGUGGUCCUUUAAGUUUUGUUAUCUUAUAAAAUAAAAGAAAGAAAGAAGGAAAAUAAGUAAAGGAAGGAAAAGGAGACCCUUGAUUUAUUAUUGAAUAUAGGGAAGGUAAAGAAGAAGAAGGCAGGAAAAGUAGCAAAAAAAGGGGACAUUUCUUUUUAUGGUGACACGUAAUAAAAAUUGGCAGCUAAUACAGCGUUGUUUUGGGUGUUUGUAAUUAAAGGGAAAAGAGGGGGAGAAAAAAGCACUGUGUGGAGUGCAGAUCAAAACGUGGUAAGCGUAAAAGUAGUUGUUAAAUUGUGCAACAAAUUUAGAACCAAUGUCUGAAAAAAAAGAAAUAUGCUCGUGGCUAUUUACCAGAGUAUCUGAAGACACUUGCGCUAAAAAGUUUCAGUUACUGCACAUGGGUGGUAAGGAAAUGUUACCAUCAAGAAAGAUGCAUUAGUGGGCAGUAGGUAUAAAAAGGUUGACUACCCCUGAUCUAAAUGGUCCCUUUACAGGAAGUGUGCUGACAUCACAUGCCAAACAGGUUACCCUUCAGGGUCAUAAUCAUCAUCACCGUAGUCUGAUAAGAAAAUGGGGCUAGAGUACUUAUCGGGGAGAUAGUUGAACUCAUUAUAUUGUUAUUAUGUUAAAUUAAUACAUUAAAGAAUUGUAUUGUUUGCAAAUGUAUAUGUUUUAUGCUAAAUAAAAUAGCAAAAGUUCAG